rnacentral:ncRNA from 1 species
UGGGCAGUAUCAGAGCGAACUGCACCAUGAUUCGAAGCAAUACGAAAAAAUAAUAACUUGGAUUCUGCCUUGAUCCAAUAACGGACUGGGACAGAGGG